rnacentral:rRNA from 1 species
UACGUAGGGGGCAAGCGUUGUCCGGAAUCAUUGGGCGUAAAGCGCGUGUAGGCGGCUUGGUAAGUCCGCUGUGAAAGUCCAGGGCUCAACCCUGGAAUGCCAGUGGAUACUGUCAAGCUAGAGUCCGGAAGAGGCGAGUGGAAUUCCUGGUGUAGCAGUGAAAUGCGUAGAUAUCAGGAGGAACACCGAUGGCGAAGGCAGGUCUCUGGGCUGACACUGACGCUCAUGCACGAAAGCGUGGGGAGCAAACAGG